ensembl:lncRNA
CCUCAACCAAGUCUAUCAGAUGUCUCUGCUCUGUACCCAAGAGAAUAAGACAAAUGCCUUGUGUCUUCAUGUUCACGCUGCUGGAAAUAUUUGGGACUAUUUCUCUCAAUCAGUGGGGAUAUGUGUGCCUGAGUGCAGACUCUUCACCUUCCAGCACAGACCCUUUGGCCUCCUGAUACAGACUCACAUGGGGCACCACCACAUGGAGCUCCAGGCCUUCGAGUUGAUCCUUCAGAUCCCCAGUGCAAAGACCUUUUCCACUCUUCUACACCAGACUCUGUGGGUGGCCAUGGGAUCGAACUCAGGUCCUUGAGCUUGUGCAGCAGGCGAUGAAACCACUGAGCUAAAUCCCCAGCCCCUGAUAACACCUUUCAUUAAGAAUGGAAAGGCAUGUUUUGUCCCUUUGUGAUCCUUUGAGAAUGAACAGAAGCUGCC